rnacentral:rRNA from 1 species
UACGAAGGGGGCUAGCGUUGCUCGGAAUGACUGGGCGUAAAGGGCGCGUAGGCGGAUGUUUUAGUCAGGCGUGAAAGUCCUGGGCUCAACCUGGGGAUUGCGUUUGAUACGGGGCAUCUAGAGUUGGGAAGAGGGUCGUGGAAUUCCCAGUGUAGAGGUGAAAUUCGUAGAUAUUGGGAAGAACACCGGUGGCGAAGGCGGCGACCUGGUCCUUGACUGACGCUGAGGCGCGAAAGCGUGGGGAGCAAACAGG